rnacentral:rRNA from 1 species
AAACUUUCAACAACGGAUCUCUUGGUUCUGGCAUCGAUGAAGAACGCAGCGAAAUGCGAUAAGUAAUGUGAAUUGCAGAAUUCAGUGAAUCAUCAAAUCUUUGAACGCACAUUGCGCCCGCCGGUAUUCCGGCGGGCAUGCCUGUUCGAGCGUCAUUU